CAAUAGCGUAUAUUAAAGUUGUUGCAAGUUAAAAAGCUCGUAGUUGGAUUUCUGGGCAGGGAGCGACCGGUCCGCCGCAAGGUGUGCACCUAGGUUUGUCUCCAGUCAUCUUUGUGGGAACUGCUCUGGCAUUAGGUUGUCGGGGUUAGGGAACACAUCGUUUUACUGUGAAAAAUUAGAGUGUUUAAAAGCAGGCUUUAUGCCGUUGAAUACAUUAGCAUGGAAUAAUAAGAUAGGACUUUGGUGGUCUAUUUUGUUGGUUUGCACACCAAGGUAAUGAUUAAUAGGGAGUAGUUGGGGGUAUUCGUAUUUAAUUGUCAGAGGUGAAAUUCUUGGAUUUAUGAAAGACGAACUACUGCGAAAGCAUUUACCAAAGAUGUUUUCAUUAAUCAAGAACGAAAGUUAGGGGAUCGAAGACGAUUAGAUACCAU
rnacentral:rRNA from 1 species